GAGACCGGCGCACGGGUGCGUAACGCGUAUGCAAUCUACCUUUCACAGAGGAUAGCCCAGAGAAAUUUGGAUUAAUACCUCAUAGUAUAGCAGUUUCGCAUGAAACCACUAUUAAAGUUCCAACGGUGAAAGAUGAGCAUGCGUCCCAUUAGCUAGAUGGUAAGGUAAAGGCUCACCAAGCCGACGAUCUGUAGCUGGUCUGAGAGGACGACCAGCCACACUGGGACUGAGACACGGCCCCAGACUCCUACGGGAGGCAGCAGUGGGGGAAUAUUGGACAAUGGGCGCAAGCCUGAUCCAGCAAUGCCGCGUGCAGGAUGAAGGCCUUCGGGUUGUAAACUGCUUUUGUACGGAACGAAACGGUGAGCUCUAAUACAGUUUGCUAAUGACGGUACCGUAAGAAUAAGCACCGGCUAACUACGUG
rnacentral:rRNA from 1 species